UCCCUUGUGGUCCAGUGGCUAGGAUUCUCCGCUUUCACCGGAGCGGCCGGGGUUCGAUUCCCCGCGAGGGAG